CGCCCGGUACGCGACUGGCGAUAGGCGCGGCCCCCAGCGGGCCGUCGCUGACGUGGAAACCAGCAAGGCGCCGCCCUUGUGAACCACCGGGAAGCGUGCCGCACGGGCCCGUCCCGCUGCGUUUCCGCCGUUCGCCUGGGCAGCCCUU
rnacentral:ncRNA from 1 species